rnacentral:rRNA from 2 species
UACGGAGGGUGCAAGCGUUAAUCGGAAUUACUGGGCGUAAAGCGCACGCAGGCGGUCUGUUAAGUCAGAUGUGAAAUCCCCGGGCUUAACCUGGGAACUGCAUUUGAAACUGGCAGGCUUGAGUCUUGUAGAGGGGGGUAGAAUUCCAGGUGUAGCGGUGAAAUGCGUAGAGAUCUGGAGGAAUACCGGUGGCGAAGGCGGCCCCCUGGACAAAGACUGACGCUCAGGUGCGAAAGCGUGGGGAGCAAAC